rnacentral:rRNA from 1 species
ACUCCUACGGGAGGCAGCAGUGGGGAAUAUUGCACAAUGGGCGCAAGCCUGAUGCAGCAACGCCGUGUGAGUGAAGAAGGUUUUCGGUAUCGUAAACUCUGUCCUAAGGGAAGAAACAAAUGACGGUACCUUAGGAGGAAGCCCCGGCUAACUACGUGCCAGCAGCCGCGGUAAUACGUAGGGGGCAAGCGUUAUCCGGAAUCACUGGGCGUAAAGGUGCGUAGGCGGCUUAGCAAGCCAGGGUGAAAGGCAUUGGCUCAACCAAUGUAAGCCUUUGGAACUGUUAAGCUUGAGUGCAGGAGAGGUAAGUGGAAUUCCUAGUGUAGAGGUGAAAUUCGUAGAUAUUAGGAGGAACACCAGUGGCGAAGGCGACUUACUGGACUGUAACUGACGCUGAUGCACGAAAAGCGUGGGUAGCGAACAGGAUUAGAUACCCUGGUAGCACAGAG